CCUGGGGACACCUGAUCCCCUAAGGGACACCCUCUCCAUCGAGGGACACUCCUGGGGACACCUGAUCCCCUAAGGGACACCCCCAGGGGACACCUCCUCCAUCAGGGGACACUCGCCAGGGUCCCUCCCUUGAGGGACAGCUCUGGCCUUCUCCAGAGGUGACACAGGGAGCCGCCUGGAUGUCCCCAAGGUGUCCCCACCCACCGUCAUCGUUGCUCUCAUUGACGGGAGCCCCGUGCUCCAGCAGCAGCGUCAGGCACUCGUUAAUCCGCGGGGACCCCGUCCCUCCCCGCCCCACCCUCGGGCAGCCCCCCGAUACCGGGGGGGGGUCACUGUCACCGCUGACCCAGGAACGGGAGGUGUCCGUGCCCCCCCCGCCUCCCGCACCCCAAAACAUCCAAAUAAAUAAAUAAAUCCCAGCGGGAA